rnacentral:lncRNA from 1 species
UAUUCCAACCCCUACUUCGUCUACAUCACAGUCGUUUAAAAGAGCUGCUGGCUUAACAGCUCUUAAAUCGUGGACGGAGUUCAGGGGUACUCAAGGGGAUAAUUUAGAUGAAAUUUCCCAUCUAAAUGAGCUUUGGACGGAGUUCAGGGGUACUCAAGGUGAUAAUUUAGAUGAAAUUUCCUAUCUAAAUGAGCUUCAAGUUUAUUUGUCACAGGGACAAGAGAAGGAGAAUCCAGACGGCUCUUUCGACCUUUUGGAGUGGUGGAAGACAAGGGAAAAGCAUUUUCCCGUUCUUGCAAGGAUGGCUCGGGAUGUUCUGUCGAUUCAAGCGUCAACUGUUGCAUCGGAGAGUGCCUUUAGUCAAGCAAGAGUACAAAUAGGUGAUCACAGAGCGUCGAUGCGGGACAACUUGGAAAAAUCAGAGCUUUUUCGAGAUUGGAUCCGCGCAGAAAGAAGGAACUUUGGGCUAGCUGAAUCACAACCAGAAAUAGAUGAGUGCUAUGAAGAAAUGCUAGCAGAACUNNNNNN